CGAACACCCAGAGUCACAUCAGGAGAGCACAGCAGAUCCCACAGACACUCACUCUUUCAUUAUGUCUGGAAAUUCAGUUUACCAGCCAUCAGAUGUUUUAGUCAAUAAACAACAGAAACAGGGAAAUCCAGAGGAAAAUGAGAAUGUUUAUCUCCUGUACUCCAUGAUCCCUGACAAACCAGUUCACUCAAACGCAGAAGAUCACGUGUACAGUUUGGUGAAGAUGCACUGACAAAUCCCAUGUCUGUGUUCAUUAUCUAUUGCGACUAUAAAUAAAGUGUAUUUACUU